CAGAAACCCUCAUAGUAAUGGUUUUAAUGGUUUUAAUGGGAAUUGUAUUGGUUUAAAUAGAAACUCUAAUGGUCUCUGUGGCUCUCUACUGGCAGCGUGCAUCACGGGACACAUUCUCUUUGGCAUCCUGUAGGAGGUAUGAAGUAAAAGUUUUCACCCAAAAGUUUCCUUUUAACAUUGAGCAAAGUUUGCUCUGUUUUGGGGUAUCUGGGUCACAUGACCUGGUUCGAGUUACCUGAGAUCAUUUCCUGACCAGAAUCCAUCAUGGCCGCCGAAGGUGCAGGAGAUUCCGAGCAUGUGAUUUUGGAACAUUUUGUGUCUCAGAAUACGAGCAUGACUUCAUUUUGGCACGUGAGGUUUCCUGAGAUGUCUGCGUUGUAUCGCAGGAAACAGAUGAUGUGCUCUCAUUGUGAUGGAGAUGGCAAUAAGGCCGAGUCGACGCUCACAUACUGAUGUGUUUAUCUGAAAAGGAAAAGAGGUGAAGAGGACACGGCUAUGCGAGAGAGCCUUCUGGAUUGUCUGGCAGAAGUUAUAGUGAAUGUAACUCGCAGCUCCAGGUGUACAGAGUGACAGACUGAAUGGACAAUGUUCAGGUUCUCAGUCGUAGAGGCAGCGAGAAGCUGUGGCUAGAAGGCAGUCGCUGCCUGUCAUGGCAGUAACCCCAGGAUGCGUGGACCAGGGCUCAGGGAAGCUGUAAAGUUGAAGAAGGAGGACCUCCAGGGUCACAGAAAGCUCCACUGGUUCGGAGGAGAGCCAGAAGUGCAAGCUCAGGCCUGGGAGGAGUUUGGAAAGGCGGUGAAAAAAACUUUUUGGCCUAAAAAGAAGCAGACAAGCAGACAUGCUCUACUGGGGAUGAAAAGAGCACUCUGAGAAUCUCCUUAAUCCAGUGGAUUUGGUCUCCAUUUAGGAGGCAGCGCCAGACAUCUCUAGUGUUUUGAUUCUCAAGAAGGCAACAUGAUACAUUAAGAGCCAGGAUGAUCGGUGUAAAUUGUUAUUAUUUUCUCUUCUGGGAAACAUGUAAAUAUCUUCUGUAGCAUCUGAAGAGCAGUAGUAAAUGAAAAAAAUAAGAUCUUUAAACAAAAUAUUAAUUUUCACCGAUCAUCCUGUUUAUAAGUUUACACCCCCCCCUCGGCUCUUAAUGAGAUAUUUCACCCAAAAAUUUUAAUUUUAUCAUCAGUCAUCACUCUCUCCCCCUCAUGUCGUUCCAAACCCGUAAGACUUUCAUUCAUCUUCAGAACACAAAUGAAGAUAUUUUUAAUGAAACCUGAGAGAUUUCUGUCCCUCCACUGAUAGUCAACGUAACCAAAACUUUCAAGCUCCAAAAAGUUCAUAAAAGCUCCGUAAAAAAAGUAAUCAUAGUAAUAUGAUCAUGUGACUCGACAUUUGUUCAACUUCGCUGUGCUAAUAUAAUAAUAUGUAUUAAAUGUGGUGUAAAUUCCCUUUAACUCACCACUUCCCAUCAUGUUCUACUCCCUUAAUCACAUAAACUUUAGUUUGAAUAAAAAACUCUAAAUUUAUCUUCAGAUAAAGAGCGCUUUCCCUGAGACACAUGACAGGAAAUAGAGCGAACCAUCAGCAUUUCCUGUUUAAUUCUCUUCACUUUGCCUGAAAUCCUGAAGCCGUAGGCUUUAUAAAUAUCCCAUUGUGUGAUGAAAGGAAGAGCCAUGUGAUGAAUAGCCGGGUGUGGGAUGCAAACAAGACGUUUCUUUCCAAACGCUGCGUAUUUUGCAUUAUUUAUGAAGUAUAAAUUACGGGACUGUCCAUUAAAUUACAAUGAAAAUUAAAGAAUGAAAGGAAGUGCUAAUGAAAGUCGCUUUGUUUUAUAUAGAUAUUGUUUUAAUGACUAUUUUCCGUAGCUGGAAAACAUCAGGUGAGGAUGUGCGGUCACGGGGUGAUUUUUUAAAUUAUUAUUAUUAUUAUUAUUAUUACAUAUUAGCUAGAAAAAAAAGCCUGCCAGUCAGUAAAAAAAGUUCAGCACAAGUACUAAACACAGUUUUCCAAAACAUGUUCUUUCACUAAGGCCCUAAAAUAUUCUUGUAUUAUUACCAUUAUUGUAACAAACAAACAAACAAACAAACAAACAAAAAGUAAUUUAAUUUUUUUUAGCACUUGUAUGAUAAUAAUCCACAUUUCUACAUCCUCUUGUUCCAGUUCAGAAGGUUGUGAGUUCUUAAGCCUUACUGUGCAGCCAGAUCCAUAAUUAUUGGCACCCUAGUCCUUGUUAAAGACAGGUUAAAUGGAAACAGGGUUUAUGGAAAAAUGUAUUUGUGGUUAAUUAGCUUGAUCGUAUAUUACAGAGAUAUACUUUGUAUAUGUACUUUGUACUCUAACAUAUAUUCUAAGAAAAUUAAAACCUUUAUCUCUAUCUGCAGUACUGUGCAAAAGUCUUAUUUUUUUUAGUACAAACUUUGUUAUAGAUGUUUAUUUUCUGACUUCUACAUUAUUGAUUCAGUACAAAAACAUUUUAGAUUCCAAACAUUAGUUUUCCAGCACAAAAUGAAAUCUUACAGAAAAAUGUUUGUAUGUCAGUAAAGAAAGCAGCAGAUUCCAUAAGAGACACUUUUCAGAUAAAAACAUAAUGAAGGCUGCUGGGUUUCGCUGCAGAAAUAAGAAGCGAGUCGACAGUCAAAGUCUCCAGAAGAACUGUGGCUGCUUCUGCAAGAUGCUCAGUAACACUUCCAGCUCAUUACAGAUCACAUUAUGUUUAUUCACUUAAAUUCAGUUUUAUUUGUAUAGAGCUUU